GUGAAUCAUCGAAUCUUUGAACGCAAAUUGCACUCUCCUCGGAGAGUAUGCCUGUUUGAGUGUCAGCCUAUAAAAAUCGACAUAGUUGCUGUUUCGCGGUGGCGUUCGUCGGAAAUUGGGUCAUCUUAAAUACUUUUGAUUUAAGCGACUUACAAUUUUCUUUUGGUUAUAUGAACGUUUCUAAGAUCUAUUUCUUUACACGUUUAAGGUAUCGAUUUUUACUAGAUGUGACCGUGAUAUCGAUCAUGUCCAUAAUAGUUAACUGACUUCAGACAGGUAAGAGUACCCGGUGUACUUA
rnacentral:misc_RNA from 1 species